UACGGAGGGGGGCUAGCGUUGUUCGGAAUUACUGGGCGUAAAGCGCACGUAGGCGGCUUUGUAAGUUAGGAGGUAGCAAAGCCCGGGGCUCAACUCCGGAAUUGCCUUUUAAGAUCUGCAUCGCUAGAAUUGUGGAGAGGUAAGUGGAAUUCCGAGUGUAGAGGUGAAAUUCGUAGAUAUUCGGAAGAACACCAGUGGCGAAGGCGGCUCACUGGACUGGUAUUGACGCUGAGGUGGCGAAAGCGUGGGGAGCAAACAGGGAU
rnacentral:rRNA from 1 species